rnacentral:rRNA from 1 species
UACGGAGGGGGCUAGCGUUGUUCGGAAUUACUGGGCGUAAAGCGCGCGUAGGCGGACCUGCAAGUCGGGGGUGAAAGCCCGAGGCUCAACCUCGGAACUGCCUUCGAUACUGCGGGUCUCGAGUCCGGGAGAGGUGAGUGGAAUUCCUAGUGUAGAGGUGAAAUUCGUAGAUAUUAGGAAGAACACCAGUGGCGAAGGCGGCUCAGCUGGCCCGGUACUGACGCUGAGGCGCGAAAGCGUGGGGAGCAAACAGGAU